rnacentral:rRNA from 1 species
GAUGAACGCUGGCGGCGUGCCUAAUACAUGCAAGUCGAGCGAACAGACGAGGAGCUUGCUCCUCUGACGUUAGCGGCGGACGGGUGAGUAACACGUGGAUAACCUACCUAUAAGACUGGGAUAACUUCGGGAAACCGGAGCUAAUACCGGAUAAUAUAUUGAACCGCAUGGUUCAAUAGUGAAAGACGGUUUUGCUGUCACUUAUAGAUGGAUCCGCGCCGCAUUAGCUAGUUGGUAAAGUAACGGCUUACCAAGGCAACGAUGCGUAGCCGACCUGAGAGGGUGAUCGGCCACACUGGAACUGAGACACGGUCCAGACUCCUACGGGAGGCAGCAGUAGGGAAUCUUCCGCAAUGGGCGAAAGCCUGACGGAGCGACGCCGCGUGAGUGAUGAAGGUCUUCGGAUCGUAAAACUCUGUUAUUAGGGAAGAACAAAUGUGUAAGUAACUAUGCACGUCUUGACGGUACCUAAUCAGAAAGCCACGGCUAACUACGUG